rnacentral:rRNA from 1 species
AACGCUAGCUACAGGCUUAACACAUGCAAGUCGAGGGGCAGCAUGAACUUAGCUUGCUAAGUUUGAUGGCGACCGGCGCACGGGUGAGUAACACGUAUCCAACCUGCCGAUGACUCGGGGAUAGCCUUUCGAAAGAAAGAUUAAUACCCGAUGGCAUAGUUCUUCCGCAUGGUGGAACUAUUAAAGAAUUUCGGUCAUCGAUGGGGAUGCGUUCCAUUAGGUUGUUGGCGGGGUAACGGCCCACCAAGCCUUCGAUGGAUAGGGGUUCUGAGAGGAAGGUCCCCCACAUUGGAACUGAGACACGGUCCAAACUCCUACGGGAGGCAGCAGUGAGGAAUAUUGGUCAAUGGGCGAGAGCCUGAACCAGCCAAGUAGCGUGCAGGAUGACGGCCCUAUGGGUUGUAAACUGCUUUUAUAAGGGAAUAAAGUGAGUCUCGUGAGACUUUUUGCAUGUACCUUAUGAAUAAGGACCGGCUAAUUCCGUGCCAGCAGCCGCGGUAAUACGGAAGGUCCGGGCGUUAUCCGGAUUUAUUGGGUUUAAAGGGAGCGUAGGCCGGAGAUUAAGCGUGUUGUGAAAUGUAGACGCUCAACGUCUGCACUGCAGCGCGAACUGGUUUCCUUGAGUACGCACAAAGUGGGCGGAAUUCGUGGUGUAGCGGUGAAAUGCUUAGAUAUCACGAAGAACUCCGAUUG